GACGUAGGGCGCGAGCGUUGUCCGGAUUUAUUGGGCGUAAAGAGCUCGUAGGCGGCUCGUUGCGUCGGCUGUGAAAACCCGCAGCUCAACUGUGGGCUUGCGGUCGAUACGGGCAUCACUGGAGUUCGGCAGGGGGAGACUGGAAUUCCUGGUGUAGCGGUGAAAUGCGCAGAUAUCAGGAGGAACACCGGUGGCGAAGGCGGGUCUCUGGGCCGAUACUGACGCUGAGGAGCGAAAGCGUGGGGAGCGAACAGG
rnacentral:rRNA from 1 species